UCAUCUUCGGGGGUAGAGCACUGUUUCGGCUAGGGGGUCAUCCCGACUUACCAACCCGAUGCAAACUACGAAUACCGAAGAAUGUUAUCACGGGAGACACACGGCGGGUGCUAACGUCCGUCGUGAAGAGGGAAACAACCCAGACCGCCAGCUAAGGUCCCAAAGUCAUGGUUAAGUGGGAAACGAUGUGGGAAGGCACAGACAGCCAGGAUGUUGGCUUAGAAGCAGCCAUCAUUUAAAGAAAGCGUAAUAGCUCACUGGUCGAGUCGGCCUGCGCGGAAGAUGUAACGGGGCUAAACCAUGCACCGAAGCUGCGGCAGCGACACUAUGUGUUGUUGGGUAGGGGAGCGUUCUGUAAGCCUGCGAAGGUGUGCUGUGAGGCAUGCUGGAGGUAUCAGAAGUGCGAAUGCUGACAUAAGUAACGAUAAAGCGGGUGAAAAGCCCGCUCGCCGGAAGACCAAGGGUUCCUGUCCAACGUUAAUCGGGGCAGGGUGAGUCGACCCCUAAGGCGAGGCCGAAAGGCGUAGUCGAUGGGAAACAGGUUAAUAUUCCUGUACUUGGUGUUACUGCGAAGGGGGGACGGAGAAGGCUAUGUUAGCCGGGCGACGGUUGUCCCGGUUUAAGCAUGUAGGCUGGUUGUCCAGGCAAAUCCGGAUAAUCAAGGCUGAGGUGUGAUGACGAGGCACUACGGUGCUGAAGUAACAAAUGCCCUGCUUCCAGGAAAAGCCUCUAAGCAUCAGGUAACAUCAAAUCGUACCCCAAACCG
rnacentral:rRNA from 1 species